rnacentral:rRNA from 1 species
GAGUUCGAUCAUACUAGCACUAAUGCACCGGAUCCCAUCAGAACUCCGCAGUUUAAGCGUGCUUGGGCGAGAGUAGUAC